GUGUCACCCCCGUGUCCCUCUGACCCUCCCCUUGGGCUCUGGGUCACCUCCGUGUCACCCCCUGGGAGGUUUUGUGUCACCUCCGUGUCCCCUCUGUGUCAACCCUGGGUCCUCUCUGUGUCACCCCCGUGUCCCUGUGAUCACCCUGGGUCCAUGGGUCACCUCCAUGUCACCCCCCCCAGGGCUCUGGGUCCCCUCCGUGUCACCCCCGUGUCCCUCUGACUGCCCCGGGGCCCUGGGUCACUCCCAUGUCCCCUCUGUGUCAACCCUGGGUCCUCUCUGUGUCACCCCCGUGUCCCUGUGAUCACCCUGGGUCCAUGGGUCACCUCCGUGUCACCCCCCCAGGGCUCUGGGUCUCCUCCAUGUCAUUCCCCCCAUGUCCCUGUGUCCUCCUCGUGUCCCUCUGUCCCUUCCUUCUGUCCCCCCGGUGUCCCUCUGUCUCUCUGAACCCCCUGCCAUGUCCCCAUGUCCCCUCUGUGUCCCUGUGUCCCCUCUGUCCCUCCAAUGUCCCCAUGUCCCCCCCAAUGUCCCUCUGUCCCCUCUGUGUCCCCAUGUCCCCCCAUGUCCCUCUGUCCCUCCAAUGUCCCCAUGUCCUACCCAAUGUACCCGUGUCCCCUCUGACCCUCCCCAUGUCCCUCUGUCCUGUCUGUCCCCUCUGUGUCCCCAUGUCCCCCCAUGUCCCUCUGUCCCCUCUGUGUCCCCUCACAGCUGCAGGACCUGGGCCACCCCCCCAAGGAGCUGGCAGGGGACACGGUGAGUGUUUGGGGACACCCUGAGGGGUUUGGGGUCACCCAAAGGCUUUGGGGUGAUCCCACAGAAUUGAGGUGGUCCCAUAGAAUUGGGGAGAUCCCAUUAAAAUUGGGGUGGUCCUAAAAAACUGGGGUGGUCCCAUAGAACUGGGGGGACCCCAAAGGAUUUGGGGGUGACCUCAUGGAACUCGGGGAGAUCCUAAAAGAAUUGGGGUCACCUCAUACAUUUCAGAUGAUCCCAUAGAAUUGGGGGGGAACCACAAAAGAUUUGGGGUGACCUCAUAAAGUUUGGGGUAAUCCUGUAGAUUUGAGGUGAUCCCACAGAAUUGGGAUUUCUCCAAAAGAUUUGGGGUGUCCCCCCCCAGCUUUGGAGUGAUCCCAUAGAAUUGGGAUGACCCCAUUGAUUUGGGGUGACCCCAUAGAUUUGGGGUUCCCCCCGCCAGCUUUGGGGUGCCCCUCUGGGAUUUGAGGUUCCCCCCAUGGAUUUGGGGUGUCCCAUGGCUAUGGGGUGCCCCUGUGGGAUUUGGGGUGACCCCACAGAUUUGGGGUGAAUUCACAGCUUUGGGGUGUCCCCAUGGCUUUGGGGUUCCCCCCAUGGAUUUGGGGUGUCCCAUGGCUAUGGGGCGCNCUCCCUCAAGGAGAUCACCGAGAAGGUGGGACCCCAAAAACCCCAAAAGCCGGGAGGGCACCCCAAAAAAACCUGGGGGAGUCCCCAAAAUCCUGGAGGGAUGAGUGGGAAACUCAGGGGAGUCGUGGGGACAUCAUGCAGUCCCUGCUGUCCAGGGAUGUGCUCUACUCCUCCUUCAAGGAGAUCACCGAGAAGGUGGGACCCCAAAAACCCCAAAAACCGGGAGGACACCCCAAAAAACCUGAGGAGGGCACCCCAAAAACCCUGGGAGGGUUCCUGAAAUCCUGGACGGAUCCUUUCGGGUGUGGGAAACUCAGGGGAGUCAUGGGGACAUCAUGGAAUCCUUGCUGUCCAAGGAUGUGCUCUACCCCUCCCUCAAGGAGAUCACCAAGAAGGUGG
rnacentral:lncRNA from 1 species